GUCCACUCCAUAUUGUGGAUACGGGAAGUGCAAUAUAUUCGGCUGCGCCUGUAAGGGAGGGUGUCGGAAAGAUUGUGGGCUCUAUUUCAAAAAGAUCUUCCGUCAGAGUGAUCAGAAAUAUAUUGAUGUAUGUGCCUGCAGAAAUUCUGGCAGGAGAUCAGUCCGUGAACUGCAGUGAUACAGAGAGAGAUGACCAAGUUCCCAGUGAGCAGCGUGAGGUUCCGGCUGACAACGCAAGGUCGGCAGAAUUCAGUGCUGAAGAAAAUUUGAUUUCGAUUAAUUGUAAUAUUCAGGCAAGAUGAAUGAAAACUUUUAAACAGAG